AUUGAACGCUGGCGGCAUGCCUAACACAUGCAAGUCGAACGGUAACAGGCCCUUCGGGUGGCUGACGAGUGGCGGAUGGGUGAGUAAUACUUAGGAAUCUACCCUGUAGUGGGGGACGAACCCGGGGAAACUCGGGCUAAUACCGCAUACACUCUACGGAGGAAAGCGGGGGACCGGCAAGGCCUCGCGCUAUUGGAUGAGCCUAAGCCCGAUUAGCUAGUUGGUGGGGUAAUAGCCUACCAAGGCAGUGAUCGGUAGCUGGUCUGAGAGGACGACCAGCCACACUGGGACUGAGACACGGCCCAGACUCCUACGGGAGGCAGCAGGUGGGGAAUAUUGGACAAGUGGGCGAAAGCCUGAUCCAGCGAUGCCGCGUGUGU
rnacentral:rRNA from 1 species